UACGAAGGGUCCAAGCGUUGCUCGGAAUUAUUGGGCGUAAAGCGGGCGUAGGCGGCCUUGUAAGUCAGAAGUGAAAUCCCUGGGCUCAACCCAGGACGUGCUUUUGAUACUGCAAGGCUUGAGUAUGGGAGAGGGUAGUAGAAUUCCUGGUGUAGUGGUGAAAUACGUAGAUAUCAGGAGGAACACCGGUGGCGAAGGCGGCUACCUGGCCCAAUACUGACGCUCAGGCCCGAAAGCGUGGGGAGCAAACAGG
rnacentral:rRNA from 1 species